AACGUAGGACACAAGCGUUAUCCGGAGUUACUGGGCGUAAAGGGCGUGUAGGCGGGUAUGUAAGUCUACUCUGAAAGCUCCUGGCUAAACUGGGGAGAGGCGAGUGGAGACUGCAUGUCUAGAGUGAGGAAGAGGAAAAGUGGAAAUUCCGCGUGUAGUGGUGAAAAUGCGUAGAGAUGCGGAGGAACACCAGUAGCGAAGGCGGCUUC
rnacentral:rRNA from 1 species